AUACAGAGGGUGCGAGCGUUAAUCGGAAUUACUGGGCGUAAAGCGCGCGUAGGCGGCUGAUUAAGUCAGAUGUGCAAUCCCAGGGCUCAACCUUGGAACUGCAUCUGAUACUGGUCAGCUAGAGUUUAGGAGAGGGAAGUAGAAUUUCAGGUGUAGCGGUGAAAUGCAUAGAUAUCUGAAGGAAUACCAGUGGCGAAGGCGGCUUCCUGGCCUAAAACUGACGCUGAGGUGCGAAAGCGUGGGUAGCAAACGGGAUUAGAAACCCCAGUAGUCC
rnacentral:rRNA from 1 species